rnacentral:rRNA from 1 species
UCAGGAUGAACGCUAGCGGCAGGCUAACACAUGCAAGUCGAGGGGCGAGCGCGAGGUAGCAAUACUUGGCGGCGACCGGCGAAAGGGUGCGUAACGCGUGAGCAACUUGCCCGUAUCUGGGACAUAAGCGGUGGAAACGCCGUCUAAUUUCCCAUAACAACAGAGGCCGCAUGACCUUUGUUUGAAAGAUCCGUCGGAUACGGAUGGGCUCGCGAGACAUUAGCUAGUCGGCGUGGUAACGGCACACCGAGGCGACGAUGUCUAGGGGUUCUGAGAGGAAGGUCCCCCACACUGGAACUGAGACACGGUCCAGACUCCUACGGGAGGCAGCAGUGAGGAAUAUUGGUCAAUGGGCGCAAGCCUGAACCAGCCAUGCCGCGUGAAGGAAUAAAGGCCCUAUGGGUCGUAAACUUCUUUUGUGGUGGAGCAAUAAGGUGUACGUGUACACCGAUGAGAGUACAUCACGAAUAAGCAUCGGCUAACUCCGUGCCAGCAGCAGC